GGCACAGUGGCUUAGUGGUUUGACUUUUGACUUGUACCUCCAGGGUUUGGGGGUUCGAUUCCCGCCUCUGCCC